GAUGAACGCUAGCUACAGGCUUAACACAUGCAAGUCGCGGGGCAGCAUGGGGGUUGCUUGCAAUCCCCGAUGGCGACCGGCGCACGGGUGAGUAACGCGUAUCCAACCUGCCCUUCACCACGGGAUAACCCGGCGAAAGUCGGACUAAUACCGUAUGUUGUCCAUUGACGGCAUCCGAUUUGACGAAAGGCCUGGCGGUGGGGGGUGGGGAUGCGUCCGAUUAGCCAGACGGCGGGGUAACGGCCCACCGUGGCUACGAUCGGUAGGGGUUCUGAGAGGAAGGUCCCCCACACUGGAACUGAGACACGGUCCAGACUCCUACGGGAGGCAGCAGUGAGGAAUAUUGAUCAAUGGGCGUAAGCCUGAACCAGCCAAGUAGCGUGCAGGAUGACGGCCCUAUGGGUUGUAAACUGCUUUUAUGCGGGGAUAAAGUGGCCCACGUGUGGGCUUUUGCAGGUACCGCAUGAAUAAGGACCGGCUAAUUCCGUG
rnacentral:rRNA from 1 species